AUUGAACGCUGGCGGCAGGCCUAACACAUGCAAGUCGAGCGGAGCGGCGGACGGGUGCGUAAUGCCUAGGAAUCUGCCUGGUAGUGGGGGAUAACGUCCGGCAACGGGCGCUAAUACCGCAUACUAUCAGAUGAGCCUAGGUCGGAUUGGCUAGUUGGUGGGGUAAAGGCCUACCAAGGCGACGAUCCGUAACUGGUCUGAGAGGAUGAUCAGUCAAACUGGAACGGAGAAACGGUCCAGCCUCCACGGGGAGGCAGCAGUGGGGAAUAUUGGACAAUGGGGGAAGUCCUGAUCCAGCCAUGCCGGGUGGGUGUGGAAGGUCUUCGGAUUGUAAAGCACGUUAAGUUGGGAGGCGUUACCAACAGAAUAAGCACCGGCUAACUUCGUGCCAGCCGCCGCGGUAAUUC
rnacentral:rRNA from 1 species